AGUGAACGCUGGCGGUAGGCCUAACACAUGCAAGUCGAACGGCAGCACAGGAGAGCUUGCUCUCUGGGUGGCGAGUGGCGGACGGGUGAGGAAUACAUCGGAAUCUACUCUGUCGUGGGGGAUAACGUAGGGAAACUUACGCUAAUACCGCAUACGACCUACGGGUGAAAGCAGGGGACCUUCGGGCCUUGCGCGAUUGAAUGAGCCGAUGUCGGAUUAGCUAGUUGGCGGGGUAAAGGCCCACCAAGGCGACGAUCCGUAGCUGGUCUGAGAGGAUGACCAACCACACUGGAACUGAGACACGGUCCAGACUCCGACGGGAGGCAGCAGUGGGGAAUAUUGGACAAUGGGCGCAAGCCUGAUCCAGCCAUACCGCGUGGGUGAAGAAGGCCUUCGGAUUGUAAAGCCCUUUUGUUGGGAAGGAAAUCCAGCUGGCUAAUACCCGGUUGGGAUGACGGUACCCAAAGAAUAAGCACCGGCUAACUUCGUGCCAGCAGCCGCCGUAA
rnacentral:rRNA from 1 species